ACCCACCCGUCCAUCAUGCCUCCCUUCUCCUUCCCCGCCGCACGCCUGCUCCCAUCCCCGCCGAGCCGCCGCCCGAGACCCGACCCCGGCUGCCUGCGCCUGGCCCUGCUCGCUGCCCCCCUCGUCCCCUCUGCCGACCACGCCCCCUCCUCCCCACGCCGAGCGCCGCCCCUGUCCUCACCAUGCCGAGCGCCGCCCCUCUCCUCCGCCCCGUUGUCGGCGUCGGCCCCCUCCUCCCCGCCUCUCUGGUGCCGUGGGGACCCCUCUCCUCCGCCCUGCUGCCGUUGGGGCGCCCUCCGUCGGCCCCCUCCUCGCUUCCUCCCUGGUGCCGUGGGGGAGCCUCCCCCUUGCCUUCCCCUAUAGAGCCUCCCCCGGUUCUCCUUCUCCCCAUCCGGCAUGUCAUCGCGAGGCGGAAGACCAUCGAGCGCAAACCUGGAAGGGCAACAGCGCGGCGACCGACGGCAUCGACCAGGUGCGCCACUGGGAGCACCUCGCCAACAUCACGGCCUCCAUGCUGCGGGGCCCCACAGAGAUCCACGAGGGCCAGCUCCGCUGCGCGGGCGCUCUCCGACCUCUUGGGCUCCUCGUCCAUGACACCGCGGCGUCCGGCCGCCGCCUCCAGGAGCGUGAGCACGAGGACAUCACCACGCGAAUAGGGCAAUGGCGUGUGCAGCUGAGGUCGGUGAGAAGGGGCGUAUUGCGGCGCCAAACGCAAUGGUAUUCCAUUGCCGCUUGCCGCAGCAGAUGGACAACUGAUGAGUGGGCAAGCUUACGUCCUCACUGGCAGUGCUCUUAAGAUGCUGCAGCAUAUUGUCCUGCGCAAGACAAAUCUUGAGCGCUGAGCAGCGGCCGGCCACAGCGGCAAGCACCAUCACGUCGAGGUAACACUGCACAGAUAAUUUCAAGGAUAUAUAAAUGGUUCAAUUAAUUCCCUUUCUAUUCAGGGUCUGCAUGUUGAUGGAUGGAUAUACUAGAGGCCUCCUAACUGUCUGGUUCUCAAAUAUACUGAAGGUUUAUGAUGGGUAAUGCACUACUACUACGAAGGUGUCUGGCUGUCUGCUCAUGGCAAUGGUUCUAUCCUUAUCACUAUGCUCCGUUCGCUUCGGAUUUGAGGGAUUUGGGUCAUCUUAAUAUUACAUUUAAACUUAGGACGCCAUUCAAACCUUUUGAUCAGCUUAUGGAGGUUUUCCCAGCUGCAAGUGCCCAUGUGCUGUCGCUACAGCAUCGCCGAUUAAUGACUGAUCCCAGUUCACUAAUAAUUUAUUUUUAUCGUACUGACACACCGGAGUCCAUCAUCAAUAUGAUAUUAGUUGAAAGUCAAUUUAUUGCAACACGGUCUGAAGCUUCUGCAUAAAUUGGAUGUUAGCCAGAUGUGUCAUGUAUAGAUGAAUUUUCUUUUAAAAAAAUGUUGUGCUACAAGCAAAAUAUGAUCUAUGCAAAUUCUGUGUCUUCUUCGUAACUCUUAUAAUAUUAUUAUGGUUUGAAGAAGCUUUA